rnacentral:lncRNA from 1 species
GUACGCAGGGCUAGACCCCUAGCGUAGCAAAGCUAGCGGCCUUUGGAGGUCCUACGCUUGCUAUUCAAAAUGGCCGACAUUGUUGUCGGUUUCAAGUUUGCAGAUGAGAGUUUCUUUGAUGCUCCCGUUAAAAAGGAAUAUUGGACCGGAUACAAAGUGAAAUGAAUGUGGGAAAUCAAUGGACCAAGGGGGCAGUACUUUUCCUCAUGGACACUUAUGCCGAACAUAAGGAACGAUUUGCAAUUCCAACUUGAAAAUAGAGGUAUGGAAGAGGAUUGCUUUGGAAAUGGCAGCCUCAGGAUGCCACUUUGCUCCAGCAGCACUUGAGAAAAAAAUGGAGCAAUAUGAAAAUAUGGUACAAAGCUAUAUUAGAUUUCAACAAGAAAACGGGCCAGGGAAGAUCACGAUGGAAUUUCUAUUCCAGAAUGGCUGAAAUCUUGGAAGGAGACCCUUCGUUCAUCUCACCACUGACAUCAUCAUCACUGGGGAGUGUAAAAGUAAACACUCUCUCCGAGAUCUCCAAUACCCAGCAAUGUGCCACCCCUACAAAGAAGCAAG